CUGGUUUCUGGUGGAGCUGCUGCUGAGGGACACUGAGCUGUCUGCCGAAGAGUGCUAGCACACUGGGCCGGGGAUGUAGCUCAGUGGUGCCGAGCCUGCCUCAAAAGCGAAAGGGCCUGAGUUCAAUCCCUGGUACCAAAAAAAAAGUGCUAACACAUUCUCCUUGCUCUUAAGAGACAGUCUGGGUUUAUGACCUCAUUGCUGUCAUUCAUGUGAGAGUGGGAGCAGAAAAAUCAGCAGGAGAGAUUUGCAGAGCAAGUAAGACAGGACAUGGGGACCUGGGCCUAAGGCCACGGAGCCAGCCAGGACCAGGCUUAAGUGGCCAGAUGUCCACAUGGACAGGAGCCACACCAAGCCUAUGGACAGGAAAGGCAGCAGAUGAGGUGAGAAGAAGGUCCCCUCCGGCAGGCAAGGAGACAGACGGAGCACAGCACAAGGUCACGGGCCCUCAGCCAGGAGGGCCUCUCCAGCACCGGGCAGGCCUGCAGUGUGGCAGUGCCCGUGAGAGGCCAGUGUCACCAAAGUCAAAGUCCUCAAGGUCCAGAGGCCGAAGGUCUCCGAGGCCAGGGACUGGGACAACAGGCAAAAGUCCAGUUUCCGGAAGGCCACAGGAAGAAGGCGGGAGCUGCACACCUGGGCCCUCGUGGUGGGAGAGGAGGGCACACACAGAUUUGAAGGCUACACUGCCCACAAGUUGCCUUCAGCUGCAGUAUGGAAGACACAUCAGAAAGCGUAGGAGAGACCAUUGGCAGCUCUUACAGCCUGACCCCUCCAGAAUGGACACAGGAGAAAGCCUGAAUGACCUGUUCGAGACCCCCAGCAAUGCAGGAUGUUCUGGGAAGAAGCCUAGAAGGGGAGCAACUGGGUCAAGUGGAGCUUCUCAAGCCCGCUCAGGAAGCAGACAACAGCACCCAGGGCCUCCCUGCUGCUCCUCUGCAGCGCACCAGCCUCUGCUUUCCUUGGCCUGAAAGCAGCUGGGCCUGGAGCACUUGCCUCGUCCAGCUCACACUACUGCUGCUCUUCACACACUGGCCCUGUCUGCUCACUUGGGCUCUGCCUGCCCGCACCUCUCCAAGGACCAUCCUGCCUGGCACCUGCAGAACUCCCAACGUGGCCUGCAGGGCAGCAAGGGGAACCUGUUUCCAGGCUCACAGCCGACACUCAGACAGGGGCCGUCCACAUGCCGGCUGAUCAGCCCUCCAUGAUUUGAGACGCUGCACGAUGAAUGCAAUCCUUAUGUACUGUAAACAUGUCUAAUAAUUUUUUUUAAAUAUUUAAAACAAGUUUGAGAUGAGUUGAGAAAAUGAAGUAUUCACACACAACAGAGCACUGCUGUGCUAUAAAAAGAUAAACCUGGGGCCAGAGAUUUACCUCAUUGGUUCCACUGCCUGCCUCUCAAGUGGAAGGUCCCGAGUUCAAUCCCCAGUACCCCAAAAAAGUAAAAAAUAAAAAGAUAAACCUGAGUCAUUUGGAGGAAG
rnacentral:lncRNA from 1 species